CGUUAAUCGGAAUUACUCGGGGUAAAGCGCACGCAGUCGGUCUGUCAAGUCGGAUGUGAAAUCCCCGGGCUCAACCUGGGAACUGCAUUNGAAACUGGCAGGCUAGAGUCUCGUAGAGGGGGGUAGAAUUCCAGGUGUAGCGGUGAAAUGCGUAGAGAUCUGGAGGAAUACCGGUGGCGAAGGCGGCCCCCUGGACAAAGACUGACGCUCAGGUGCGAAAGCGUGGGGAGCAAACAGGAUUAGAUACCCUGGUAGUCCACGCCGUAAACGAUGUCGACUUGGAGGUUGUGCCCUUGAGGCGUGGCUUCCGGAGCUAACGCGUUAAGUCGACCGCCUGGGGAGUACGGCCGCAAGGUUAAAACUCAAAUGAAUUGACGGGGGCCCGCACAAGCUGUGGAGCAUGUGGUUUAAUUCGAUGCAACGCGAAGAACCUUACCUACUCUUGACAUCCAGAGAACUUAGCAGAGAUGCUUUGGUGCCUUCGGGAAC
rnacentral:rRNA from 1 species